GCAAGUCGAGCGGUAGAAACUUUUAGCUUGCUAAAAGUUUGAGAGCGGCGAACGGGUGAGUAACACGUUGGAAUCUGCCUCAAAGUCAGGGACAGCCGUUCGAAAGGAUGAAUAAUACCGGAUAGUCUCUACGGAGUAAAAAUUUAUUGCUUGGAGAGGAGCCUGCGUUCUAUCAGCUUGUUGGUGAGGUAAAAGCUCACCAAGGCUAUGACGGAUAGCUGGUCUGAGAGGAUGAUC
rnacentral:rRNA from 1 species